AUUGAACGCUGGCGGCAGGCCUAACACAUGCAAGUCGAACGGUAACAGGAAGAAGCUUGCUUCUUUGCUGACGAGUGGCGGACGGGUGAGUAGUGUCUGGGAAACUGCCUGAUGGAGGGGGAUAACUACUGGAAACGGUAGCUAAUACCGCAUAACGUCGCAAGACCAAAAAGGGGGACCUUCGGGCCUCUUGCCAUCGGAUGUGCCCAGAUGGGAUUAGCUAGUAGGUGGGGUAACGGCUCACCUAGGCGACGAUCCCUAGCUGGUCUGAGAGGAUGACCAGCCACACUGGAACUGAGACACGGUCCAGACUCCUACGGGAGGCAGCAGUGGGGAAUAUUGCACAAUGGGCGCAAGCCUGAUGCAGCCAUGCCGCGUGUAUGAAGAAGGCCUUCGGGUUGUAAAGUACUUUCAGCGGGGAGGAAGGGAGUAAAGUUAAUACCUUUGCUCAUUGACGUUACCCGCAGAAGAAGCACCGGCUAACUCCGUG
rnacentral:rRNA from 1 species